rnacentral:misc_RNA from 1 species
UCUCCGUUGGUGAACCAGCGGAGGGAUCAUUACCGAGUGCAAACUCAUAACCCUUUGUGAACCUAUAUCUGUUGCUUCGGCGGCUCGCUCUCGGGCGAGUCCGCCGGUAAUAUCAGUAUCUCUGUUUGAACCCGACGAUACUUCUGAGUGUUCUUAGCGAACAGUUAAAACUUUUAACAACGGAUCUCUUGGCUCUA